rnacentral:rRNA from 1 species
GUGGGGAAUUUUGGACAAUGGGCGCAAGCCUGAUCCAGCAAUGCCGCGUGGGUGAAGAAGGCCUUCGGGUUGUAAAGCCCUUUUGUACGGAAAGAAAUCCUGGUGGUUAAUACCCGCCGGGGAUGACGGUACCGUAAGAAUAAGCACCGGCUAACUUCGUGCCAGCAGCCGCGGUAAUACGAAGGGUGCAAGCGUUAAUCGGAAUUACUGGGCGUAAAGCGUGCGUAGGUGGUUUCUUAAGUCUGUCGUGAAAGCCCUGGGCUCAACCUGGGAAUGGCGAUGGAUACUGGGAGGCUAGAGUGCGGUAGAUGAGGGCGGAAUUCCCGGUGUAGCGGUGAAAUGCGUAGAGAUCGGGAGGAACAUCUGUGGCGAAGGCGGCCAUCUGUACCAGCACUGACAUUGAGGCACGAAAGCGUGGGGAGCAAACAGGAUUAGAAACCCCGGUAGUCC